UGAUAAGAGACAGCAGUAGCCGCGGGAAUACAGAGGGUGCGAGCGUUAAUCGGAUUUACUGGGCGUAAAGCGUGCGUAGGCGGCUUUUUAAGUCGGAUGUGAAAUCCCUGAGCUUAACUUAGGAAUUGCAUUCGAUACUGGGAAGCUAGAGUAUGGGAGAGGAUGGUAGAAUUCCAGGUGUAGCGGUGAAAUGCGUAGAGAUCUGGAGGAAUACCGAUGGCGAAGGCAGCCAUCUGGCCUAAUACUGACGCUGAGGUACGAAAGCAUGGGGAGCAAUCAGGAUUAGAUACCCGAGUAGUCCCUGUCUCUUAUAC
rnacentral:rRNA from 1 species